AACGAACGCUGGCGGCGUGCCUAACACAUGCAAGUCGGACGAGAAAGUUUCCUUCGGGAAGCGAGUAAAGUGGCGCACGGGUGAGUAACACGUAGACAACCUGCCUUCCAGUCCGGGACAACUUUUCGAAAGAAAGGGCUAAUAACCGGAUAACACUUUGGGCCGCAUGGCCUGGGGUUGAAAGAUUUAUCGCUGGAAGAGGGGUCUGCGGGACAUUAGCUAGUUGGCGGGUAAC
rnacentral:rRNA from 1 species